rnacentral:rRNA from 1 species
UACGGGGGGGGCAAGCGUUGUUCGGAAUUACUGGGCGUAAAGGGCCAGUAGGCGGCCAACUAAGUCCGACGUGAAAUCCCAAGGCUUAACCUUGGAACUGCGUCGGAUACUGGAUGGCUUGAAUUCGGGAGAGGGAUGCAGAAUUCCAGGUGUAGCGGUGAAAUGCGUAGAUAUCGGGAGGAACACCAGUGGCGAAGGCGACUUCCUGGCCUGUUCUUGACGCUGAGGCGCGAAAGCUAGGGUAGCAAACGGG